rnacentral:rRNA from 1 species
GAGUUUGAUCAUGGCUCAGAUUGAACGCUGGCGGCAGGCUUAACACAUGCAAGUCGAGCGGGGACUUCGGUCCUAGCGGCGAACGGGUGAGGAAUGCUUGGGAAUCUGCCUAGUAGUGGGGGAUAACGUUUCGAAAGGAACGCUAAUACCGCAUACGCCCUACGGGGGAAAGGGGGGGAUCUUCGGACCUCUCGCUAUUAGAUGAGCCCAAGUCGGAUUAGCUAGUUGGUGAGGUAAAGGCUCACCAAGGCGACGAUCCGUAGCUGGUCUGAGAGGAUGAUCAGCCACACUGGAACUGAGACACGGUCCAGACUCCUACGGGAGGCAGCAGUGGGGAAUAUUGGACAAUGGGCGAAAGCCUGAUCCAGCCAUGCCGCGUGUGUGAAGAAGGCCUUCGGGUUGUAAAGCACUUUAAGCGAGGAGGAAUGGCUCUGGGUUAAUACCCUUGAGCAGUGACGUUACUCGCAGAAUAAGCACCGGCUAACUCUGUGCCAGCAGCCGCGGUAAUACAGAGGGUGCAAGCGUUAAUCGGAAUUACUGGGCGUAAAGCGCGCGUAGGCGGUUACGUAAGUUGGAUGUGAAAUCCCCGGGCUCAACCUGGGAAUUGCAUUCAAACUGCGUGGCUAGAGUGUGGG